GGAUGAAUACACCAACACGACCUACUUUACCUUGUGAUUAGUAGUUUUUUACCAAUUUACACGUACACAUUAAUUCCCUGACAUUCCGAUAAAAAACGAUUCAUCACAACAUGUAUCGACAUAUCACCUAACAUAGUAUAGAAAUGUUUUUAUCAAACAUAUACCCAUUUCUUUUUGAUUCCAGAAUUUUCUACUAGGAAGUCAGAAAAAAAGGCAACCGGAAGCUCCACGUUAGUAACUGAUAUCCAUACAUCUCUGUGCCAUGUCUGCCUUAGCAUCGCCGGUGAAAUGUGCAGACCAAACGAUCGGGACUUUCACAUCUUGUGACACUGGAGCAACUUAAAUCCGUCGAUUGGUCAACCAGCAAGUUUGCGGAUGACAAAAUUGUGAUAUUAAGUCGGCUCUUACCGGAGGCUUGAGCGGAGUUUGCUUCCUUUUGUAGCAGCUGUCAAAAAGGCAGCUGUGACUUUCUUGGCUCCUCCAUAUGGCUUCCCUCAGACACACUGGCGGUCACCGCAGCCCUCCGACUUUCAGAUGACCCCAGUGUACCGUCUGGCACCUGGUUGGCCUUUGGACCGCCACACCCAAACUUACUGAGUCAUAAGUCAUAAGAACAGCACUCGGGUGAGGACGUUCACGCCCAACUACAAGUUUACACAAAGGUCUGCAGCUGUUUCCAAACCACACUGUUGGACGAUGUUGCCCUUCUCCAGUCAGGAGGGUCAAGAAAAUCCCCACCCAGGACCUUGACCUGUGCUCCUUGAUAUCUGCUUCCCCCUUCUGGCUGGACUAGCUUACAGCAUCUUUCUCCUAAAGGCCAGCACUAAAAAGUUAAAGUUAAAGGCCUACUGAAACCCACUACUACCGACCACUCAGUCUGAUAGUUUAUAUAUCAAUGAUGAAAUAUUAACAUUGCAACACAUGCCAAUACAGCCUUUUUAGUUUACUAAAUUGCAAUUUUAAAUUUCCCGGGAGUUUCUUGUUGAAAACGUCGUGUAAUGAUAACGUGUACGCAAGACGUCACAGGCUGUUAGGAAUAUGAGCGCUGCACACACACACAGCUAAAAGUCGUCUGCUUUAACAGCAUAAUUAUACAGUUGUUGGACAUCUGUGUUGCUGAAUCUUUUGCAAUUUGUUCAAUUAAUAUUGGAGAAGUCACAGUAGAAAGAUGGAGUUGGGAAGCUUUAGCCUUUAGCCACACAAACACACGGUGAUUCCGUGUUUAAAAUUCCUGGAGGUGAAACUUUCCCAUGGAUCAGAGCGCGGCCAAGCCAACGUGGAUCCCUACCGAAUGUCAACCAGCAGGUUUCGGUGAGAAAAUUGUGGUUAAAAAGUCAGUUCUUAACGGAGAAAAGCUGAGCUUCUGCCGUCGACUCCCCUGAGACACCCGUGGAGACACCCUUACGACUAUCAGGUACUAUUUAACUCACUAAAACACUAGCAACACAAUAGAAAGAUAAGGGAUUUCCCAGAAUUAUCCUAGUAAAUGUGUCUAAAAACAUCGGAAUCCGUCCCAAUGCAAUCGCGUUUUUUUUUUCAUUUAACAUUUUUUUUUUUUUUUUCAAGUCGCUAUCAAUAUCCUCAAACACAAAUCUUUCAUCCUCGCUCAAAUUAAUGGGAAAAUUGUUGUUUUCUCGGUCUGAAUAGCUCUUGCUGUUGGAGGCUCCCAUUAUAAACAAUGUGAGGAUGUGAGGAGCCCCCACACUUGUGACGUCAUCAUCUGCGACUUCCGGUAAAGGCAGGGCUUUUCUCUUAGCACCGAAAGUUGCGAACUUUAUCGUGGAUGUUCUCUACUAAAUCCUUUCAGCAAAAUAUGCCAAUAUCGCGAAAUGAUCAAGUAUGACACAUAGAAUGGACCUGUUAUCCCGGUUUAAAUAAGAAAAUCUCAGUCUGAUAGUUUAUAUAUCAAUGAUGAAAUAUUAAUAUUGCAACACAUGCCAAUACGGCCUUUUUAGUUUACUAAAUUGCAAUUUUAAAUUUCCCGUGGAGUUUCUUGUUGAAAACGUCGAGGAAUGAUGACGCGUAUGAUGACGUGUGUUUGUGACGUUAUUGGUUGAAGGGGACAUAUUAGCUCAGCACCACUUGCGGCUAAAAGUCGUCUCUUUUCAUCGCAUAAUUACAUGGUAAUUUGGACAUCUGUGUUGCUGAAUCUUUUGCAAUUUCUUCAAUUAAUAAUGGAGACUAUAAAGAACAAUGCUGUUGGUGGAAAGCGGUGGAUUGCAGUUGUCUUUAGCACCGAGACACAGACGGGGUUUCUUUGUUUGUUGUGAAGCUUUAACACAGAGCGGUCAAGCGAACAUGUUUCUCUACGUCAACCAGCAUGUUUUUGGAUGGGAAAAUUGUGAUAUUAAGUCAGCUCCUACCGGAGACGUGAGUGGAAUAUGCGUCCUUCUGCAGUAGCAGUCAAAAAAGGCAGCUGUGAGCUUGGCUCCUCGGCUUCUCUCUGAGACACUGGCGUGUUCACCGCAGCCAUCCGACUUUGAGGUAUGUCUUUACAAUCUCACUAAAACACUAUUAAAACAAUAAGCAGAUAAGGGAUCUUACAGAAUUAUCCUAGUAAAUGUGUCUAAUUACAUCCGAAACGCUCACACUGCCGCCGCCCGGAGACGUCGCUUUUUAUGUAUUUAUUUAUUUUUUAGUCCUUCACUAUCAAUAUCCUCAUCCACAAAUUUUUCAUCCUCGAUCAAAUUAAUGGGGAAGUUGUCGCUUUCUCGGUCCGAAUUGCUCUUACUGUGAGGAUGUGAGGAGCCCUCACACCGGUGACGUCACGCGCACAUAUUUCCGGUAAAGGCAAGGCUUUUUUAUUAGUGACCAAAAGUUGCGAACUUUAUCGUCGAUGUUCUCUACUAAAUCCUUUCAGCAAAAAUAUGGCAAUAUCGCGAAAUGAUCAAGUAUGACACAUAGAAUGGACCUGCUAUCCCCGUUUAAAAAAGAAAAUCUCAUUUCAGUAGGCCUUUAAUGCAUCCAGCGGGGCAUCACAACAAAAUUAAGCAUAAUUCGACGACUGUAUAUAUCGGUAUCUGUUGAUAUCGGAAUCGGUAAUUAAGAGCUGGACAAUAUCGGUAUAUCGGCCAAAAAAACAUUAUCGGACAUCUCUACUUAAAGGCCUACUGAAACCCACUACUACUGACCAUGCAGUCUGAUAGUUUAUAUAUCAAUGAUGAAAUAUUAACAUUGCAACACAUGCCAAUACGGCCUUUUUAGUUUACUAAAUUACAAUUUUAAAUUUCCCACAAGUUUCUUGUUGAAAACGUCGCGGAAUGAUGACGCGUGCACGUGACGUCACGGACUGUCAGGAAAUAUUAGCGCUGCACUACUAGCGGCUAAAAGUCGUUUGCUUUAAUCGCAUAAUUACACAGUAGUUUGGACAUCUAUGUUGCUGAAUCUUUUGCAAUGUGUUCAUUUAAUAAUGGACACUAUAAAGAACAAUGCUGUUGGUGGAAAGCGGUGGAUUGCAGCUGUCUUUAGCACCGAGACACAGCCGAUGUUUCUUUGUUGUGAAGCAGAGCGGUCAAGCGAACAUGUUUUCUCUACGUCAACCAGCAUGUUUUUGGAUGGGAAAAUUGUGAUGUAUAUCUUACCAGGGACAUCAUUGGAUUAUUCGUCGUCCUGCAGCAGCUGUCAAAAAAGGCAGCUGUGAGCUUGGCUCCUCGGCUUCUCUCUAAGACACUGCGUGUUCACCGCAACAAUCAGACCUCCAGGUAUAUCUUUACAAUCUCACUAAAACACUUUUAAAACAAUAAGCAGAUAAGGAAUCUUCCAGAAUUAUACUAGUAAAUGUGUCUAAUUACAUCUGAAAUGCUCACACUUCCGCCGCCCGGAGCCGUCGCUUAUUUUAUUUAUUUAUUUAUUUUUUUCUAGUCUUUCACUAUCAAUAUCCUAAUUCAGUUGGUGUGGCGAAAUUAUUCUCUGCAUUUGACCCAUCACCCUUGAUCACCCCCUGGGCGGUGAGGGGAGCAGCGGUGGCCACGCCCAGGAAUCAUUUUGGUGAUUUAACCCCCAAUUAGUAGUUUAUUUGGACAUUGUGACCACUGACUGUACAUCCAUCCAUCCAUCCAUUUUCUACCCCUUGUCCCUUUUGGGGACGCGGGGGGUCUCUUGAGCCUAUCUCAGCUGCAUUCGGGCGGUAGGCGGGGUACACCCUGGACAAGUCGCCACCUGUACAUACAUUUAUUUAUUUACGCAAUUGGGUUUUAACAACAUGCAAUGCAAAAGUAGAGCAGAUAUAACAGUCGUCUUUACCCAGUAUGUGUUCAACACACCUGGCACCUGUUCAAUUUGUGCUCAUUUUUGCAUUUGUAUGAUCCUGAUUGGCUAUCGUCUGCUUCGGACCGUUCACUACUGGCUCAAGAUCACCACAAUUUUAUGUCAUUUAUUAUCUGUAGCAUUUGAUAUCAAAUAGUGUUACAUUUAAAUGUAUAUAAAUUGGCUUGAACGGGAUGAAGAGUCUCCAUCUAGUGGUUGUGGCCCCAAACUACAGCAUGGAGAGUUUUGUUUGUGCCAGGAACACUGCAAAUGUUGGUAUUGAUCCAACACCUAAUAAAGAGCUGGAACUGACAAAACCGGUAAACGUGUUCAAAUUUAAAUAUGUAAAAAAUGGUUUCAGAAGUGGGAUCUUUAAAUCAAUAUAAUACAAAUGAAAGAAUUAUAGUUAAAUUAAGGGUCACCGAUUUUUGAUUGCGUAAGGAUUCAAUAUCAUUCAUUCAAACCCUUCUGUGUCCAACAACUUAUUAGCUUAGUUUGUAAACAAUACAACAAUAAGACCAACACAAUAAACAUAAACAUGAAAAAUAACUGAAUACAAUCAAUAUUAUCACACUAGUAUUGAUCCGAUAUAACCCUUCAGUAUUGAUACCAUCAGGGUUUCCCAUAAUUUUAUUUAAUAAUAAUAAUAAUAAUAAUAAUAAUUAUAGAUUUGAUUUGUAAAAGCACUUUACAUUGAGCAAACAACCUCAAAGUGCUACAGUGUAUUAAAAAACAAAUAAAUAAAAAGGUAAUAAAAAUAAAUAAAAAUAAAAAUUAAAACAGCCUAAUAGCUAGAACUAGUAUGCAUAUAUCUAUGUAUAAGGCUUUUUUUUUUUUAAAGGAGGGGUUUUAAGCCAUUUUUAAAAGCUUACACAGUCUGUGGUGCCCUCAGGUGGUCAGGCAGAGCGUUCCACAGACUUGGAGCGGCGGAGCAGAAAGUAUGGUCCCCCAUUGUCCGUACAUUUGUCCUCGGAGGUUGGAGGAGGUUAGCCUGCCCGGAGCGGAGAUGUCGUGUGGAGGAUUUAGGGGGGCAUUUCCAUGGAGGCACAGGUGGGUUAGUAGGGAGACUUUGUAUUCAAUCCUGAGUGGAACAGAAAGCCAGUGAAGGGAUUUGAGAAUUGGUGUGAUAUGGUCGUAUUUCCGCACUCUCCUCAGGAUCCUAGCAGCACAAUUCUGUCUGAAUUGCAACUUCUGGAUGUUCUUUCUGGGGAUCACAACAAGAAGUGCAUUGCAGUAGUCGAGCUUGGGGGAGACAAAGGCAUCGACGAGCCUCUCGGCAUUAGAGAGAGUGAGUGAGGGGCGGGGUUAAGGAAUGUUCCUGAGUUGGUCGAAGGAGGUCUUGCACAGUUGUUUUAUUUGAGCCUCAGAGGUCAGGUGAGGGUCCAUUUUAACAUCCAAAUUAGUGACUGAGGAUGAGAGGUGAAUGUCGUGGCCGGAGAAAGUGAUGCUGGGGAUGGUGUAUUUCCUGUUAGUGGGCCGCCAAAGGGAAAUUUAAGGGUUUAAAAAAAUGUUUUAAACUUUUUUUAGAUUUUGCAAUACAGUAGGUAACACUAACGUUCCAGGUGAUAUAUCCAUUUAGCAUCUCUGUCUUCAUGGGCAUUGUCAUGCUUGGACUUGGUCUUGGUUUGUUUUCCCGAGGUGCAAAGCAAAUGGAGUGGAAACGGCGUGAGGUAAAGACAUUUUUAUUUUAACACUAAAACUAAAAACAGGAACCAACAAAAGGCGCGCACAAUGGCGGUACAAAAAACUGGGCUAUGAAACAAAAGACUAGCACAAAGACUAUAAACUACAAACAUGAAACAAAAACACUUGCGCAGUGGCAUGAAUAACAAAAACUUACGUGGACAAAAUGGACAGCAUUGCAAGGCAUGAAGCAGAUAAUCGAGGGCGGGAAUGAGGUGGCAAGGUGAAAAUCAAUGGGUUGGCAUGGAAACAAACAAAACCAGGAAAUGCAAAACGUGAAGCAAGAGUCCAAAAACAAAACAAAACAUGAUCAAACAUAAAACCAGAUUCACAGGCGUGACAGGUAUGCAGAAUAUAUGUCGAUGAUCAAAACGGCCACAAUACUGUGAGGGGAAGAUGCAAAUAUAAUUAUUCUGCUCACGCAACGUGUUUCUUCAACACUGAUCACGGGUUUGCCCGUGCUGCAAAGACAGACGAUGGACAGAGAAUCCUACACUGUCAGAAACAAAUUAAAAAUAUUAGACAUA